CAGAACUUAACAUAAAUAAAUGUGUCUCACUUACAUUGAGAAGAUGAUUAUAUAUUAGUCAGUUUUGA
rnacentral:tRNA from 1 species